rnacentral:rRNA from 1 species
UGCCAGCCGCCGCGGUAAUACAGAGGAUGCAAGCGUUAUCCGAAAUGACUGGGCGUAAAGAGUCCGUAGACUGUACUGUAAGUUAUUUGUUAAAUCCUAAAGCCCAACUUUAGAACAGCAUUUAAUACUACUUUACUUGAGUUUUGUCCGGAAGAGUAGAAUUCCACGUUUAGGGAUAAUCCCCGUAGAUAUGUGGAGGAACACCAUUAGCGAAGGCGACUCUUUGGUAAAAACUGACGUUGAGGGACGAAAGUGUAGGGAGCAAACAGGAUUAGAUA